UACAGAGGGGGCAAGCGUUAUUCGGAAUUAUUGGGCGUAAAGGGCGCGUAGGCGGCUUGGCAAGUGGAUGGUGAAAUCCCUCGGCUCAACUGAGGAACUGCCUUUGAAACUGUACGCUUGAGGCCGGGAGGGGGUAGCGGAAUUCCCAAUGUAGCGGUGAAAUGCGUAGAGAUGUGGAGGAACACCAGUGGCGAAGGCGACUCUUUGGCCUGUAACUGACACUGAGGCGCGAAAGCGUGGGGAGCAAACAGG
rnacentral:rRNA from 1 species